UUGAAAACCGUUAAAAAAAGGACCCCUGCCUUACGAUGUCCCGUGUCAACGAAAACCAGAGAGAAAGCAACUGCUCAACAGAUAAACUAUUGGCAAUGGUAAGAGGAUGGUAGAGAUAAAUGUCAGUAUGCAAUUACGUCUCAAACGUUAUUUAAAAAUUAAAUUAACAACAAAGCUUAAAAGAACUGUUAGUGCUCGAUGAAAAAUUCAGCCCCAAAGUGAUGGUAAAAAAUAAAAUCAAUAACCAAAGACCGGAUUCUGAACAUCGUAAUAAAGAUGAUGUAUUUAUAAAAAAUCGCGAGCAACAGAUGAAGCUGUUAGCUGCAGAAAAAGAAAAUAUUCGUCCAUACAAAAGUAGCAUACAUUUAUCAGAAUUAAGCUCGGAUAAAACACAAAGAAUGCAAACCAAUAAAGAAAAAGUGUCGUCUUAUUUUUCUAAACUGAAAUCCUCGCAGCAAAACAAUGCGUCAGUUCGUAGAAUGAGAAGAAGAGCACUUUCAUCACCGCUUUCCUCAGAACGGCUAUCACUGAGAACUAAUGUCAUACGAAGACAACACGGAAAAAGAUGCCAGAGAUUAUUAUCCGAUUCCGAAAUUUAUGUAUCAAAUCACGCCUCAAUGGAAACGAAUUUUUCUUACUAAUUUUAUUAUUAUUUAUAGUUGCACCAGUCGCACUUAGUUCCGUUUUUCCUUAUUACAAUUGUAAAAAUGUACAUUAAAAAUAAAAAUGUUGUAAGUUGUCAUGAAAAUUUGCCAAAAUCAAGGCCACGU